rnacentral:ncRNA from 1 species
CAUCAUCAUCUAAUUAGUGACGUGCAUGAAUGGAUCAUUAACGAGAUUCCCCAUUGACCCUAGCUACUAUAUUCUAGAGAAACUACAUCCAAGGGAAUGGUCUUGGAAGAAUUAGCGAGGAAAGAAGAUAGUCAUGUUGAGCUUGACUCUAGUCCUAACCCAUUCAUAGUUUGGGAAAAUUAGGGUAUAGUUUGGGAAAAUUAGACCAUAACAUUCUUCCACACAAAAAUACCCUUUUUAAAGUUCUGAAUCGUCGUUGUUAUAGCAAUUAGAUUGUCACAACAUCUCUAAUUUAUAAAAUAUUUAUAGAUUUUUUUUCGUCGUAAGAGCGACAAACAUUGACCAAGUCAAUGUUGAUUUUGU